rnacentral:rRNA from 1 species
CGCAUCUGUGCAUGCAGCAUAUCAAUAAGCGGAGGAAAAGAAACUAACAAGGAUUCCCUUAGUAACGGCGAGUGAAGCGGGAAGAGCUCAAAUUUGAAAUCUUCAAGGUUUUACCUUGACGAAUUGUAGUUUAAAGAAGUGUUUUCUGUUGAAGUUUUGGUAAAAGUUCUUUGGAAUAGGACAUCAUAGAGGGUGAGAAUCCCGUAUUUGACCAUUAUUUUCAGCUGUGUGAUACACUUUCAAAGAGUCGGAUUGUUUGGGAAUGCAGUCCAAAAUGGGUGGUAAAUUUCAUCUAAAGCUAAAUAUUGGCGAGAGACCGAUAGCGAACAAGUACCGUGAGGGAAAGAUGAAAAGAACUUUGAAAAGAGAGUUAAACAGUACGUGAAAUUGUCAAAAGGGAAGCGUUUGACACCAGUGUUGUUUUCUCGAAAAUCAAUUAAAAAGAGUUUGAUUUUGUUGUGUAUUGACCUUAACAGCUUGCAUUUCAAUUUUCUUGCUUUUUUUAAUGCACUUUUCGUUUAACAAGUCAACAUCAGUUUCUUUUGUUGUAAAAAGGUCAUUGGAAGGUGGCUUUCUUUUCGGAGAAAGUGUUUAUAGCCUUUGACUCCUGCAAUCGGAGAGACUGAGGUCUGCAGCGUAGAUCCUUCGGGGUUAGAUACAUUUGUGCUAAGUUAUAGCUUUUCAUAGACAACUUGUUGACUAUGAUUAGUCUUGUAGCUUACUCGCUUAUGCUAUUUUACCUACGCUUAGGAUGUUGAUGUGAUACUGCGAGCA